GGGCCCGCACAAGCAGCGGAGCAUGUGGUUUAAUUCGAAGCAACGCGAAGAACCUUACCAGGGCUUGACAUCCCGAUGACUGGUACAGAGAUGUACCUUCCCUUCGGGGCAUUGGAGACAGGUGGUGCAUGGUUGUCGUCAGCUCGUGUCGUGAGAUGUUGGGUUAAGUCCCGCAACGAGCGCAACCCCUAUCCUUAGUUGCCAUCAGUUAAAGCUGGGCACUCUAAAGAGACUGCCGGGGAUAACUCGGAGGAAGGUGGGG
rnacentral:rRNA from 1 species